rnacentral:lncRNA from 1 species
GGAAAAUUAGUUGGGCUUCAAAGUUUAAAAUGAGCUCUCUACCUGUGAUAUUAAAAGACCUACCAUAAACUAAGGCAGCCUAAUUUCCAAAACUAAUACAAGGUAUAUUAGAAGUUGGUAGGCCAUGCUUCUUUUUUAAAAAAAAAAUCUUUUCUCCAGAUGAAGCUUUGCAGAGGCAGGAGGAGAUCUGGCAGCAGGAGAUCGAGGAGUCUCUCUCUAUCUGCAGGUCACUUUCCGAUCCAUCCAGACCCAAACACAUUGAUUUCCUGCGCAUCACUGCCCCCGAUGAUGACAUCACUGACACACCCACACCCACACCUGUGCCCCAGGAUUUGAGGUAUGGAGAGAAAAAAGGAAAGCAGAGAGAAACAGGCAGGAAAUCAUCUGGGACAGACUCAAACCCAGUCUCCGGCAGUAGCCUUUGGCAUUUGGCUCACAUGCUCAACAAGGUGAACUAUGGCAGCACCCCAAGUGGUGUUUUAUUGUGAGGUACAGUAUA